rnacentral:rRNA from 1 species
GAUGAACGCUGACAGAAUGCUUAACACAUGCAAGUCUUUGGCGAAGCUGUGCUUGCACAGCCUAGCCAAGGCGGACGGGUGAGUAACGCGUAAGGAACUUGCCCUGCAGUCAGGGAUAACAGACGGAAACGACUGAUAAGACCUGGUAAAGUCAGGCGGACUCAUGUCCAGCCUGAUGAAAAGAGAUGCUGCAGGAGAGCCUUGCGUCCUAUUAGCUUGUUGGUGGGGUAACGGCCCACCAAGGCGAUGAUAGGUAGCCGGCCUGAGAGGGUGGACGGCCACAAGGGGACUGAGAUACGGCCCUUACUCCUACGGGAGGCAGCAGUGGGGAAUAUUGGACAAUGGGGGCAACCCUGAUCCAGCAAUUCUGUGUGCACGAUGAAGGUUUUCGGAGUGUAAAGUGCUUUCAGUAGGGAAGAAAAAAAUGACGGUACCUGCAGAAGAAGCGACGGCUAAAUACGUG